AGUCGAGGGGUAUAGGCUUUCGGGCCUAGAGACCGGCGCACGGGUGCGUAACGCGUAUGCAAUCUACCUUUCACAGAGGGAUAGCCCAGAGAAAUUUGGAUUAAUACCUCAUGGUAUAUAGGAGUGGCAUCACUUUUAUAUUAAAGUCACAACGGUGAAAGAUGAGCAUGCGUCCCAUUAGCUAGUUGGUAAGGUAACGGCUUACCAAGGCGACGAUGGGUAGGGGUCCUGAGAGGGAGAUCCCCCACACUGGUACUGAGACACGGACCAGACUCCUACGGGAGGCAGCAGUGAGGAAUAUUGGUCAAUGGGCGCAAGCCUGAACCAGCCAUGCCGCGUGCAGGAUGAAGCAUCUAUGGUGUGUAAACUGCUUUUGUACGGGAAGAAACAGAGGUUCGUGAACCUCCUUGACGGUACCGUAAGAAUAAGGAUCGGCUAACUCCGUGCCAGCAGCCGCGGUAAUACGGAGGAUCCAAGCGUUAUCCGGAAUCAUUGGGUUUAAAGGGUCCGUAGGCGGUUUAGUAAGUCAGUGGUGAAAGCCCAUCGCUCAACGGUGGAACGGCCAUUGAUACUGCUAGACUUGAAUUAUUAGGAAGUAACUAGAAUAUGUAGUGUAGCGGUGAAAUGCUUAGAUAUUACAUGGAAUACCAAUUGCGAAGGCAGGUUACUACUAAUGGAUUGACGCUGAUGGACGAAAGCGUGGGUAGCGAACAGGAUUAGAUACCCUGGUAGUCCACGCCGUAAACGAUGGAUACUAGCUGUUCGGAGCAAUCUGAGUGGCUAAGCGAAAGUGAUAAGUAUCCCACCUGGGGAGUACGGGCGCAAGCCCUGAAC
rnacentral:rRNA from 1 species